rnacentral:sRNA from 1 species
GUUGGUGGCCAGGGGGACAGCGGGGCGGGCCCGCGCCGCGGGUCGUGGCCGGGACACGUGGUACGGAACCGGCGCCGCGCUUGCUGCUGGUAAGAGGGCCUUGCCUAGUGGGCCUUCCUUCCCAGGUCGCCCGUCAGUCCCCACUAGAGACAGGACUGACCAUUUGCUCUUCCUUACAAGAACCUUCGAGAUCUGCGGUCUGGGGUCUGGUUGAAAGAUGGCAGCCCUCACUACCCUGUUUAAGUACAUUGAUGAAAAUCAGGAUCGCUACAUUAAGAAACUCGCAAAAUGGGUGGCUAUCCAGAGUGUGUCCGCGUGGCCGGAGAAGAGAGGCGAAAUCAGGAGGAUGAUGGAGGUUGCUGCUGCAGAUGUUAAGCAGUUGGGCGGCUCUGUGGAACUGGUGGAUAUCGGAAAACAAAAGCUCCCUGAUGGCUCGGAGAUCCCGCUCCCUCCUAUUCUGCUCGGCAGGCUGGGCUCUGACCCACAGAAGAAGACCGUGUGCAUUUACGGGCACCUGGAUGUGCAGCCUGCAGCCCUGGAGGACGGCUGGGACAGCGAGCCCUUCACCCUGGUGGAGCGAGACGGUGAGCGCCGCGUGCCU